GUAUUUUACUUGCAAAGUUUAGGGUGAACCUGGUCUCCAACUCAUCGUGUCAGCAAUUUCACCCACUUCUGCUCCUGAUUGAUUCUCUCUGGAGAAAGAAAAAAAUGUGAACGUUUAGCCACGCACACACAGGAACCUCAGGAAUGAUAGCUUGCUGGCUAAUGCUUCAUUUUCCCAGGUGCUGCUGUACUUGCACAGAUCCAUGGCAAGAUUCCAGCAAUGAGCAGCAGGAGAGAGGUGUCUUGCAUUGCUCACACAGGGGAGGCAGCAGCUCCUGUAGCCUGGCACAGACUGGCCCAUCCCUGAACACUUAGGGCAGGUGUGAUUCCCUGGCUGGCACCUGCCCUUGGAUGCUACUGGAGACAAGAGCCAUGAGCAGCAAGGGUUGUUGGGCUCCUGUUGAAGUCACUGUGCCUGAUUAUGCAGUGUUCCUCUUGGCUGCUGUGAGCUGUCACUGAACAUGAGACAUCAGUGCCACAAGAAAAACAACUGCAGAGAAUCACAGAAGGCGUUGGAUUGGCAGGGACCUUAAAGAUCACCUUGUUCCAACCCCCCACCCUGGGCAGGGACAUCUUCCACUAGACCAGGUUGCUCAAGCUUUUAUUCAACCUGGCCUUGGACACUUCAAGGGGUGGAGCAUCCCCAACUUCUCCAGGAAACCCGUUCCAGUGUCUCACCACUCUCACAAUAAAUUUUUCCCAGUGAUAUCCAAGCCAAGUCUCCUCUUCUUUCAGUUUGAACCCUUCUCCCUUGUUCUGUCACUACCUGCCCUUGGAAAAAGUCCCUCUCCAGCUCUCUUGUAGCCCUCUUUAGCUACUCAGAGGCUGUUAGAAGGUCUCCUCAGAACCUGUUCUCCUCAAGGCCAAAAAAUCCCAAGUCUCUCAGUCUGUUCUCCUAGGAGAGGUGCUCCACCCCUCUGAUCAUUUUCAUGGCUAUCACUGUUGGGUAAGAACUGGCACAGACUCACCACAAGGCUGGUUUGCACAUCUUUACUUCAGAUCUUCUUUUAUACGUUGUUCCAAUACAGAUAGACCUGACUGGUCAAUUAAUCAGUACAUUUCACCUGACUGGCUAAUUAACAAAACACCUUUCUUAUAGACAGUCUUUGAGGAAAACAGAAAGUAGGAAAACACCUGCAGGUUGUUUACAAUAAUAAACUACCAUUGUCUAUCUUCA